GAUGUCAUGAGACAGCAAAGUGACCUGAGGGCUGCACAAAAUGUGUAUCCCCUGUCACUUCCUUCUUUCUGCAAUUUUUGUUUUAAGCAUUUUAAUGUCUAGAGAAUAAAUCCUGUAGAUUCCUUUGUGUGCAUACCAUGAGCAGUACUUUUCAUUUCUUUCCGGUUUUAUUGGUUUGACCUUGAUUACCAUUUUUGGUACUGUUUUGCGGUUUUUUCGGUACAAUCUCUGUGUACUCAUGUCACAAUGUAGCUUUUUUGUCAUCUAGUUCCUGACUACUUAUCCCUUCUUUUUUUCUUAGUGACUGAGGUGUGACUAGAAAAAUAACAUCACAUGAAGAGAAGUCAAGGACAAUAAUUCCUGACUGUGACUCCUGCAAGUUCUUCCUACUGGUAUACCCCAGACAAUAUCUUAUGUUAUAUUCACCCUUAUGGCAGCUCAGCACUUUCCAGCUUGCUGUUUUCAGGUGUAAGAUGCUUCUUUUGCUGGCCUCUGAGAGUGAUUUAUAGAGUGGCAAUAACCCAAAGAAUUUAUGACCUUUUUUUUGUGAAGCUGACCAAAAGUAGUCUUUGGUCUCCACUAUUUUUCUCCUUGAAUUUAAUUAGAAGACCAUGAAGAGUAUCACAUUCCCUUGAAUUAAAACUGGAGAAGGUUGGUGACAGUUCUGUGAGAAUUACUUUAGUUUCUAUAAAUUAGAUCAGUGUCUACAAAAGCUGAAUUUCUGCCACACUACUUUCUGAAAUGCUGCCCUGUCUUGGGGAAUUUUUCUUUCCUGAGAAAGAUCAGCUGUUUGAUGAGGUGUUUUCCUUACUGGUGUUGUAGAAACUCAUAAUCCACACAAGGAGCUUCUCUCACUAGCCUGUGGGAGGAGAGGUCAGAGAAGACAGCAGGGAAGAGACAGGUUGCAGUAAUCCAUCAGUGAAAGGAAAACACUUCAUUAGUAGCUGUAAUUUUAUUAGUAGCUGUUCAGAUGAAUGAUUUUUCCAUUCAUUAUGCAAAAGAAGCAAUAAAGAAGACAGGCAAGUAAAUAGCAGAUUCUGAGGCUGAGCAGAGAUCUGCAUAAACUGACAUUGAAGACUUGAGUGCAGGGAGAGAAAGUUACCAUGUUCAUCCCAGGCCCUGCCUCCUAGGGCAGAGUACACUGAAUUCCCAGGGAGCAUUGGACCAAGCAUAUGUAACACCUCCAGGGAAAAAUUGGUAUGGGGAACUGAGAGGGUUUAUGUCCUUACAAAAGGAGCAGUCUGUUAAAUUCCAGUCAGCCUUACACAUGAAAAAACACAACAAAACUUUGAGAGGAUAGAUGAGUGUGUGGACAGAGAGAUACAGAUAAUAUAAUUGACCAGGAUUUCCAAAACUCUUCAGCAAGGUUAUGAAAGCCAGCAAAGGCUAUUAUAGAAGUGAUGAAGCCAUGGGAUAAGAAGGAAACCUCUUAGUCAGAUGGAGACAGAAUAAAAGAGUUAUGUACACUGGGGCAUGUGUUGUCCAAUCUACUGGUAAAGCAGACAACAUCAAGCUGGAUGUUUCAAUUGAUAAACCAAUGGGAAGGAAUGUCAUCCAGUUAAAGAGCUGUCAUGAGACCCCAUCUGUAGUGCUGUAUUCAGCUGUGGGACCCCCAAUACAAAAAGGACAAUGGACCAGGUGGAGCAGAUGCAGAGCAGAGCCACGAAAAAAAAAAAAAAAAGAUCCAAGUCCUGGAAUGCCUCUGCUGUGAAGAAAGGCUUACUUAGUUGUACCUGCUCAGCAUGGAAAUGAGAAGGCUCUGAGAAGACCAUAUUGCAAAUUUUCAAUAUAUAAAGGCACCUCUUUAGAGAGGGAAAGACUUUUUACCUAGGCCUGUGGCCACAGGAUAAGGGGAAAAGUUUUAAAUUAAAAAGGGUAGAUUCUGGUUGGAUAUAAAUUGAUUUUUUUAAGAAGAGCCCAGUGAGACACAGGAACAGACAGGCCCCAGAACACAGGAAUGUUCCAUGGAAGUGUGCAAGCUUAGGUUGAAUGGGGCUUUGAGCAACCCGAUCUAGUCAAAAUUCCUACCCACAGCAGUGGUGUUGCACUAGAUGAUUCUUUUAAGGUUUCUUCCAACCCAAACCAUUCUCUGAUUUGUGCUCUAAGUUCUAUAUGUCCAUGGAAGUCAGAGAUUGCGCACACAGGACUUCUGAUGCCCCCCUUCACUCACAGCCUUAUACAGGUUGUUUCUGUUUCUAUUUUAGAGAGCUCCUCCUGUUCAGGGCAGAGGGUGUUUCCACCAGCUUCCCCCUGCCCUGAGCAGGGAUCCCAGGGCUGAGCUCUGGUUUUGAACUCCAGAAAGUUGCAUGCUCAUCCUUGGAAUAAGCUUUUCCUUUUGGAUAUCUUGGAUCCCAUUUACUGACCUUGCCCCUCUGCACUUCAUUGAGCUUUACCCAGUGAGCUCUGUUAAUAAUCAAAAUGCCAGUGACCAGGAGAAGAGCGUGCUCAGAACUGACAGUUUAAAGCAGCUCAAGUGACAGUGCCCUUUUUCCUAGAACUUGACCACUCAUUCUCCAGAACUACUGGCAAAUUUCCCCUUUCUCAGAGUAUUGCCUACAGCAAUGCUGCUCCAAAUUAGGCAGCACUGUGUUGAGAGCUCUUGUUGCUGGAGCUAUAUGAAUAUGUAAGAGUGCAAGAUAUUUGUGAUUUGGGAGUGCUGGACUGAGGAUGUGUCAGAAUGGAGAGGAUCCCAGACCAAUGCUGUGUGUGUGAAUGUGGGUAGAGUUGUGUUUUGGGCAGAAGGGUUGAGGUUUUUUUUGAGUUGUAGGUAGUGAAGGCCUGACUUGGUUGACAGUAUUGCUUGGUAUACAUUGACAAUAAUAAUAAUAAGCACAUAAUAUUAGCAACAUGGGCCUGAGCUCUUUAAGGCAUGUUAGCACUUCAUGUUUGUGUGAGAUGAAACAGGAAGUAUCACUGUAUAUUUAUUGACACUAUGUCUACUGGAGGUUAAAAGUAUUUCCUGGUCUAGGUUAUUUUGCUUCUUGGGCUCUCUUAACUCUUAGAAAAUUUUUAAUAAAUUUUUAGAAACAGAAAAAAAUUUAUAUUAAUAAUUUUCCUAUUAAUAAAUGUGCUUGCUAUACAUUUCUUCUGUAUCAGCUCUGUAACAGAAGCAUCAACUUUUUCACAACCUGAAAUUAUUUGCAAAAAACAGUAUAAUUUUUUUUCAAGUGUGAGAUUUUAUGAAUAAUAUUUGUUUGAAACUAUGAAGAAUUUUCUGUUAUAUCACUUAUGACUGACUAUUGCAAUAGUGAGCAUUCCUCUAGUAUGCACAUUUUGAAUUUUUUGAUUUCUGCAAAAUACCAAGUGAUGAUUUAUUCACAUACAUAUUCAAUUGCUUUUAUAGCUAAGGAGUCACAUUUCACAUUGAAGGCACAAACUACAUGUCCAAACUUGAAACCGUAUUUGACCUUGCUGUCUGUUGGAUUCUUCUCUAUCUGAUAUUCCUGGCCCACUAUACGCCUGGUUUUCCCCUUUUUCUUAUAAUACAUAAUGAAUCACUGAAAGAGUUUUAAUACUAAUUUGUCUUUUGUAGAGCUGCCUUUUCUAAUGAUGUAAAGGCAAGCUCUAAGUUCAUAGGACCACAUGUACAAGAUACAUUACAUUAUUUCCCUUUUACAUCUGCAAAAGUACAGAAAUGCCAAAGAAAUCCAUCUGGAUCAAAGAUUAAGUUACCUGUAAAGAUCAUAGAAGAACCAAUAAAUCAUACACCCAAGUUCUUUAAGUGCCUUGACUAGUCCAGAUUCCAAUAUUAAUAGCCCUGUCAGACUAUUUAUAGGAAGUGUAUCUACAGGGAUGGUAAGAUGCAAAACAUUUCUAAAUAUAUCAGGUCAAAUGACAAUUAUGCCAUUAGUUAAGUUUGCCAGACAAUAUUUUGCCAAAGAUGGUUUGCCAAAAUAUAUUUUGACAGAAGGAAAAGGAAACAUCCAAAGCAUCUGCAUACCAGAGUCUAUAAAAGUCUCUUUGGAGUGCUGUGCCCAGUCUUGACAGAAAAUUUCGAGCCUACGGAGGACCCUGCUGACUGUGGCUCCUGAGGAAGUGCAACAAUGGCGACUCCAGACGCUGACAUGGCCGCCUUUGGCGAGGCGGCGCCUUACCUCCGAAAGUCAGAGAAGGAGAGAAUUGAGGCCCAGAACAAACCUUUCGAUGCCAAGACCUGUGUCUUUGUGGUACAUGCAAAGGAAUCCUAUGUGAAAGGGAAGAUAGAGAGUAAGGAUGCAGGGAAGGUCACUGUCAAGACUGAAGGUGGAGAGGUGAAUAAAUGCAGAAUGUACAAAUAAAAUUUAAUUUCCUCUCUGGGUUCAUAAAUGACA